GCUGGGCGUGGUGGCGCAUGCCUGUAAUCCCAGUGACUUGGGAGGCUGAGACAGGAGGAUCACAAGUUUGAGUCCACCCUCAACAACUUAGUGAGGCCCUGUCUCAA
rnacentral:sRNA from 1 species